rnacentral:tRNA from 1 species
UAGCUCAGUGGUAGAGCACGUGCUUAGCAUGCACAGGGUCCUGGGUUCAAUCUCCAG